rnacentral:rRNA from 1 species
UACGCGAAGAACCUUACCCGGGCUUGAAUUGCAGAUGAAGGAUCCAGAGAUGGUGACGCCCUUCGGGGCAUCUGUGAAGGUGCUGCAUGGUUGUCGUCAGCUCGUGCCGUGAGGUGUCGGCUCAAGUGCCAUAACGAGCGCAACCCCUCUCUUCAGUUGCCAUCAGGCUAUGCUGGGCACUCUGGAGACACUGCCACCGCAAGGUGUGAGGAAGGUGGGGAUGACGUCAAAUCAUCAUGGCCCUUACGUCCUGGGCCACACACGUGCUACAAUGGCCGGUACAGAGCGAAGCGAUGCCGAGAGGCGGAGCGAACCGCAAAAAGCCGGUCUCAGUACGGACUGGGGUCUGCAACUCGACCCCACGAAGUUGGAAUCGCUAGUAAUCGCGCAUCAGCAUGGCGCGGUGAAUACGUUCCCGGGCCUUGUACACACCGCCCGU